GAUGAAUGCUGGCGGCGUGCUUAACACAUGCAAGUCGAGCGGUAAGGCCCUUCGGGGUACACGAGCGGCGGACGGCUGAGUAACGCGUGGGAACAUGCCCUAAAGUGAGGAAUAACUGCCCGAAAGGGUGGCUAAUGCCGCAUAUGAUCUUCGGAUUAAAGGAUUUAUCCGCUUUAGGAGUGGCCUGCGUACGAUUAGCUUGUUGGUGAGGUAAUGGCUUACCAAGGCGACGAUCGUUAGCUGGUCUGAGAGGAUGACCAGCCAGACUGGAACUGAGACACGGUCCAGACUCCUACGGGAGGCAGCAGUGAGGGAUCUUCCACAAUGGGCGAAAGCCUGAUGGAGCAACGCCGCGUGCAGGAUGAAGGCCCUCGGGUCGUAAACUGCUUUUAUGAGUGAAGAAUAUGACGGUAACUCAUGAAUAAGCACCGGCUAACUACGUGCCAGCAGCCGCAGUA
rnacentral:rRNA from 1 species